GUUCCUAUUCUGCCCCGGGCAAGUUUGUAGAUGGUGUUUUGGUUUUAGAGUGCAGCCGGUAGAGACAAGAAGAGGGAUUCUUUGUGGCUAUUUUAGGUCAUAUUGGUUUUGGUUUCUUUUUUUUUUUUUUUUUUCAUGCGUGUGUUUUUAAGGAGCUGUUGUCCAUUUGUUUGUGGUAUUGGUUUGUUAGGGUCUAUUUCAUGGUGUGGGCUUUGAAGGAAAUUGGGGAAGGAAGUCAUCUCAAGGUCCUUACCAUACCGACACCCAAUGGUGCUUGCUGACCCAAGAUUGGGAGCUAUGCUUCCUUCACCACUAGCACCAAAGAUAGAUCCUUUACUGUUGGAGUGUGGGCACUUCGUUUUCGGUCAAGAUCCUUUCUUGUACUGGUUAUGAUGGCCAUACCUGGCUUCCAGAGGAAAGGACUUUUGUGUAUUUCUUGCUCCAAUAGUUUCAGCUUGCCUUCCCGAUACUCUUGAGUUGCUGUCAUCUAGGAGACCACCUCUUCAAGCAUCUUCAACUGUGUACACUGCCCCAAUGGUGCUUCAGUUAGUCUCACUUCUCCCAUUGGUGUUAGCCAGAUGAUCAAGCUGGGGCUGUUGCGAUUCUCGUUGGGAUUCCUCUAUUAUGUUCUCUGAGGCGCCAUUUUUUUGUCUAUCAGGUCAUGGAUUUGCUAGUCUAGACUCUUUCUCUGUUAGUGUUUCUUUUGUAAUCGAUUUAUGCUUUUAUUUGAGCAGAGUUGGUCUUUUAGCUGGAAUCCUUGUUUGUUUGCCCA
rnacentral:misc_RNA from 1 species